AAAGAAAACAUGGUACAUAUACGACAUGGAAUACUAUGCAGCCAUAAGAAAGAGUGAGAUCCUGUCUUUUGUGGGAACAUGGAUAGAACUGGAGGCCAUUAGCCUUAGCAAACUAAUGCAGGAAUAGAAAACCAAAUACUGCAUGUUCUCACUUAUAAGUGGGAGCUAAAUGAUGAGAACUCACAGACACAAAGAAGAGAACAAUAGCCUACUUGAGGGUAGAGGAUGGGAGGAGGGAGAGGAGCAGAAAAAGUAACUAUUGGGUACUAGGCUUAGUACCUGGGUGACAAUCUGUACAACAAACCCCCAUGACAUGAGUUUACCUAUAUAACAAACUUGCACAUGUACCCCCAAACCUAAAAUAAAAGUUUUUUAAAAAGCUCAACUCUCUCAAUAAGAAGACGAGGCAAUUAAGAAAUGGGCAAAAGAUUUGAACACUUUACUAAAGAAAAUAUAUGGAUAGCAAAUAAGCAAAAGGUCCUCUACAUGAUUAGUCAUUAGAGAUUGCAAAUUAAAACUGCAAUGAGGUAUCACUACAUACCUAUUAGAAUGCACCAAUUAAGAAGACCAAGUGUUGGCAAAGAUGUGGAGAAAAUAGAACUCUCAUAUACUGCUAGUGGGAAUGCAAAAAUGACACAACUACUGUUGAAGCAAUUUGGAAGUUCCUUUACAAAUUAAUACAUCUACCAUAUGAUCCAGCCAUUCCACUUCUAGUUAUUUACCCAAGAUAAAUGAAAACAAAUGUCCAUAAAAAGAUUAAUACACAAAUGUUCAUAGCAGCUUUAUACAGCCCCAAAUUGAAAAGAACCCCAAAGUCCAUCAAUAGGUAAAUGUUACAUAUCUGUACAAUAGAAUAUUACUCAGCAAUAAAAAGGAAUAAACUAUUGCUACAUGUUACAAUUUGGAUGAUCUCAAAAUAAUUAUGCUUAGUGUAGGGAGCCAGACAAGCCAGGCACCGGUGGCUCACACCUGUAAUCCCAGCACUUUGGGUUGGGUGGAUCACUUGAGGUCAGGAGUUUGAGACCAGCUUGGCCAAUAUGGUGAGGCCCCAUCUCUACUAAAAAUACAAAAACUAGCCGGGCGUGGUGGCGUGUGCCUGUAAUCUCAGAUACUAGGGAGGCUGAGGCAGGAGAAUACUUGAAUCCAGGAGGCAGAGGUUGCAGUGAGCGGAGAUUGCACCAGUGCACUCCAGCCUGGGCAACAGAGCAAGACUCCCUCUCAAAAAAAAAAAAAAAAAAGAAGAAGAAGAAGCCAGACAAAAGAGAGUGCAUACUGUAUGAUUCGAUGCCAUUUAGAUCAAAUUCUGGGAACCGCAAACUAAUCUAUAGUAACAGAAAGCAGAAAAGUGAUUGCCUGGGUAUGGGAAAAAUGACAGAUAAGUUCUUGAUCUUAACUACAGUGAGAAUCCAUGGAUAGAGCUGUUUGAUUUCGCAAAUAAAAACAUAGAGUGGCCAGUUAAAUUUGAAUUUCAGAUGAAUAAAUUUUUUUAGUAUGAAUAUGUACCAUGCAAAUGUUUGGGACAUACUUAUACUAAAAAUGUUUCAUUGUUUAUCUGAAAUCCGAAUUUAACUGGGCAUUCUGUACUU
rnacentral:lncRNA from 1 species